AAACUAGAUUAGAUACCCUAUUAUGCUUAGCCGUAAACCUAAAUAAUUAAUAAACAAAAUUAUUCGCCAGAGUACUACAAGCAACAGCUUAAAACUCAAAGGACUUGGCGGUGCUUUAUAUCCCUCUAGAGGAGCCUGUUCUAUAAUCGAUAAACCCCGAUAAACCUCACCACUUCUUGCUAAUUCAACUUAUAUACCGCCAUCCUCAGCAAACCCUGUCAAGGCCUCAAAGUAAGCAAAAACACAUACAUAAAGACGUUAGGUCAAGGUGUAGUCUAUGAAGUGGAAAGAAAUGGGCUACAUUUUCUAACAUAAGAACAACAUCCCAACAGAAGCCUUUAUGAAACUAAAAGCCAAAGGAGGAUUUAGCAGUAAACUAAGAAUAGAGAGCUUAAUUGAAUUGGGCCAUGAAGUACGCACACAUCGCCCGUCGCUCUU
rnacentral:rRNA from 1 species